rnacentral:rRNA from 1 species
UACAGAGGGGGCAAGCGUUGUUCGGAAUUACUGGGCGUAAAGGGCGCGUAGGCGGCCCUCUAAGUCGAACGUGAAAUCCCUGGGCUCAACCCAGGAACUGCGUCCGAGACUGGGGGGCUAGAAUCCGGGAGAGGGAUGUGGAAUUCCAGGUGUAGCGGUGAAAUGCGUAGAUAUCGGGAGGAACAUCUAUGGCGAAGGCAGCCCCCUGGGCUAGUACUGACGCUCAGGCACAAAAGCGUGGGGAGCAAACAGG